GUCGGAGUAAUUAACUAUGUUUUUUUUAAAUGCGCUAAAGCAGAUAAACGGUGUGCUCCCAUGUGGACAUAUAGGAAAGCUACCGUUCGUCUUCUAUGAAAUUAGCUCCCUGGCUAACCAUCUGGCUAACGACUCUUGCGGGGCCCUUCUUUGUGAUGCAGGAGCAGGCAAUAAUUAAUAUCGCCAUGCAAUAACAGCAAGCAGAUUUACGCAUGUACCUCAGCCCUGAACACAUAUGCACACAGUUUGGAUGCUAUCGCCAAUAUUGCCUCUAUUCUAAUGAUGGAAGCCAAAAAGAAGAAGUGCAGAGCUGAGGGUCAAGUGUUCUCGCCAUGUCUGGGCAUGCAGUCAUUGAUGUGCAGCGUGAACAGGAGGUAGCUGAGCACCUAAACCACGGGGGCUCUGGUGUUGAGUGGGGAAGAUGUGACUGCCAACCCAAAGUGUCUGCGGUCUGUUUGUAAGGAAGACCAAUAACCAAUUCCAGGGAGUGGCACUCAAGCUCAGAAUGCUAAUCAGUGUGGCAGUAUUGAAUAUAGAGCUGAGAGCAACAGCUUUCUAAUGCAGGUGUUGUUAUUUUCAAGGUGUACGAGGACAGCUCAGCUCAGCAGCUGCAGAGGCUGCCUGGAGAUAGUCACCAAGACGCAUCUUUGUUACCUUAAUAGAGACUGGUGCUGGUGCUGCUUUCUCCUCAUUUUCAUUCUUAAGGUUAAGCUGAGUAAAACAUUUGCUGCCAGUAGCAUCUCAUUAAUCACAGCAAGUGCUAUCAAUCUUUUCAUUUGAC